rnacentral:rRNA from 1 species
GUUUGAACCUGGCUCAGGAUGAACGCUAGCGGCAGGCUUAACACAUGCAAGUCGAGGGGUAGAAGUCUUCGGACUUUGAGACCGGCGCACGGGUGCGUAACGCGUAUGCAAUCUACCUUUUACAGAGGGAUAGCCCAGAGAAAUUUGGAUUAAUACCUCAUAGUAUUAUGAAAUGGCAUCAUUUUAUAAUUAAAGUCACAACGGUAAAAGAUGAGCAUGCGUCCCAUUAGCUAGUUGGUAAGGUAACGGCUUACCAAGGCUACGAUGGGUAGGGGUCCUGAGAGGGAGAUCCCCCACACUGGUACUGAGACACGGACCAGACUCCUACGGGAGGCAGCAGUGAGGAAUAUUGGACAAUGGGCGCAAGCCUGAUCCAGCCAUGCCGCGUGCAGGAUGACGGUCCUAUGGAUUGUAAACUGCUUUUAUACGAGAAGAAACACUCCUUCGUGAAGGAAUUGACGGUAU